GAUGAACGCUAGCUACAGGCUUAACACAUGCAAGUCGAGGGGCAGCAUGUCGGUUGCUUGCAACCGAUGAUGGCGACCGGCGCACGGGUGAGUAACGCGUAUCCAACCUACCCUUGUCCAUCGGAUAACCCGUCGAAAGGCGGCCUAACACGAUAUGCGGUUCACAGCAGGCAUCUAACGUGAACGAAAUGUGAAGGAGAAGGAUGGGGAUGCGUCUGAUUAGCUUGUUGGCGGGGUAACGGCCCACCAAGGCGACGAUCAGUAGGGGUUCUGAGAGGAAGGUCCCCCACAUUGGAACUGAGACACGGUCCAAACUCCUACGGGAGGCAGCAGUGAGGAAUAUUGGUCAAUGGACGGGAGUCUGAACCAGCCAAGUAGCGUGCAGGAUGACGGCCCUAUGGGUUGUAAACUGCUUUUAUAGGGGGAUAAAGUGUGCCACGUGUGGCAUAUUGCAGGUACCCUAUGAAUAAGGACCGGCUAAUUCCGUGCCAGCAGCCGCGGUAAUACGGAAGGUCCGGGCGUUAUCCGGAUUUAUUGGGUUUAAAGGGAGCGUAGGCCGUCUUAUAAGCGUGUUGUGAAAUGUCGGGGCUCAACCUGGGCAUUGCAGCGCGAACUGUGAGACUUGAGUGCGCAGGAAGUAGGCGGAAUUCGUCGUGUAGCGGUGAAAUGCUUAGAUAUGACGAAGAACUCCGAUUGCGAAGGCAGCCUGCUGUAGCGCAACUGACGCUGAAGCUCGAAAGCGUGGGUAUCGAACAGG
rnacentral:rRNA from 1 species